rnacentral:rRNA from 3 species
GGACCUCCAAUCAGUCAAGAUUACCCGCUGA